UAGAUCCCAAUAGGAUUCCGCAGUUAAGUAUGUUAAUCAUCACUUUCACGAUUCCUUCUUCCGCUAGAUUCUGUCUUACUUCAGGCACAGCGGAAAUGUUCUUCAAAGUACAAGCAGAAGCGGAUUGAGAAACAGAGUCCCCUGUUUUGCAAAUCUCGAUCAACGGACCAACCCCGCCGUGACCAACAAUUGAACGCGAUGUCUCUGAUGAAAUAGACAUUCUCUGCAACGAAAUAACCGCUUUCUCCUUAGCAACAAUACUUCCUGAUUCUAGUAGCCUUAUCAAUGAAGGCAAUGCGUUCUCAGAGAUAAGCCAGUUUUCGCAUCCGCCUGAUUCCGCUAGAGAGCAGAUCACAGUCACCGCGUUUUCCCUUACGCUAGGCGAGGUAGCCGUCAAAAGCUGCACCAAAGACGCGACGUUGGUACGGCCUAGAGCGGUUAUAACCGCCUUUUCGUCUUCUUUCAUUACCUCGACGAGCUGCUCAAGCGCUUUGCGUUUAGACUCCAAGUGACCUAUCUGAAGCCGAGCAAGCAAUUCUCUAACGCUGAACGUUUCCAAGUCUUGAGUCGAAGAAGAUAAAGGUUUCGUAACUUCUCCAAGAACACCUGUUUUCAUUAGCAAUCCACAAUCUUUCAAGCUAAGAUCAAUCUUCGCAGAUAGAGAAUCUAGAUCACUCUGCAUCUUCAAUUUCCCCUCUUGCUUCUCACUUACGCAAACAUUCGCGAGCUCGAUGGUUUCUUUCAAAGUUUCUA